GUCCUCAUAGUUCAAUGGAUAGAACACCAGCCUUCUAAGCUGGAUAUGUAGGUUCAAUUCCUACUGAGGACACCA
rnacentral:tRNA from 1 species